rnacentral:rRNA from 1 species
ACCCGGGUAGUCCCAGCCGUAAACUAUGCUCGCUAGGUGUCAGGCAUGGCGCGACCGUGUCUGGGUGCCCGCAGGGGAAGCCGUGAAGCGAGCCACCUGGGAAGUACGGCCGCAAAGGCUGAAACUUAAAGGGAAUUGGCGGGGGAGCACAACAACGGGUGGAGCCUGCGGUUUAAUUGGACUCAACGCCGGACAACUCACCGGGGACGACAGCAAUAUGUAGGCCAGGCUGAAGACCUUGCCUGAAUCGCUG